GUGCGAAGGUGGCGGAAUUGGUAGACGCGCUAGCUUCAGGUGUUAGUGUCCUUACGGACGUGGGGGUUCAAGUCCCCCCCCUCGCAC
rnacentral:tRNA from 1 species